rnacentral:tRNA from 1 species
GGAAGGUAACCGAAUUGGCUUAGGAGACUGGUUGCUAACCAGUUGCCCUGGAAACGGGGUUGGCGGGUUCGAUUCCCCCACUUUCCG